rnacentral:rRNA from 1 species
GUGAAGCGGGAAGAGCUCAAAUUUAAAAUCUGGUAGUCUUUUGGCUGCCCGAGUUGUAGUCUGGAGAAGUGCUUUCCGUGCUGGACCGUGUAUAAGUCUCUUGGAACAGAGCGUCGUAGAGGGUGAGAAUCCCGGUCUUUGACACGGACUGCCAGUGCCAUGUGAUGCGCUCUCGAAGAGUCGAGUUGUUUGGGAAUGCAGCUCAAAAUGGGUGGUAAAUUCCAUCUAAAGCUAAAUAUUGGCGAGAGACCGAUAGCGAACAAGUACCGUGAGGGAAAGAUGAAAAGCACUUUGGAAAGAGAGUUAAACAGUACGUGAAAUUGCUGAAAGGGAAACACUUGAAGUCAGUCGCGUCAGCCAGAACUCAGCCUUGUUGUUUUGCUUGGUGCAUUUUCUGGUUGAUGGGCCAGCAUCAAUUUUGGCCGCUGGAAAAAGGCUGGGGGAAUGUGGCACCUUCGGGUGUGUUAUAGCCCUCAGUCACAUACAGUGGUUGGGAUUGAGGACUGCAGCAUGCCUUUUAUGGCCAGGGUUCGCCCAUGUUCAUGCUUAGGAUGCUGGCAUAAUGGCUUUAAAUGACCCGUCUUGAAACACGGACCAAGGAGUCUAACAUGCCUGCGAGUGUUUGGGUGGAAAACCCGAGUGCGUAAUGAAAGUGAAAGUUGAGAUCCCUGUCAUGGGGAGCAUCGACGCCCGGACCUGAACUUUGGUGAUGGAUCUGCGGUAGAGCAUGUAUGGUGGGACCCGAAAGAUGCUGAACUAUGCCUNGAAAUAGGGUGAAGCCAGAGGAAACUCUGGUGNAGGCUCGUAGCGAUUCUGACGUGCAAAUCGAUCGUCAAAUUUG